rnacentral:rRNA from 1 species
GACGAACGCUGGCGGCGUGCUUAACACAUGCAAGUAGAACGGAAAGGCCCUGCUUUUGUGGGGUGCUCGAGUGGCGAACGGGUGAGUAACACGUGAGUAACCUGCCCUUGACUUUGGGAUAACUUCAGGAAACUGGGGCUAAUACCGGAUAGGAGCUCCUGCUGCAUGGUGGGGGUUGGAAAGUUUCGGCGGUUGGGGAUGGACUCGCGGCUUAUCAGCUUGUUGGUGGGGUAGUGGCUUACCAAGGCUUUGACGGGUAGCCGGCCUGAGAGGGUGACCAGCCACAUUGGGACUGAGAUACGGCCCAGACUCCUACGGGAGGCAGCAGUGGGGAAUAUUGCACAAUGGGCGGAAGCCUGAUGCAGCAACGCCGCGUGCGGGAUGACGGCCUUCGGGUUGUAAACCGCUUUCGCCUGUGACGAAGCGUGAGUGACGGUAAUGGGUAAAGAAGCACCGGCUAACUACGUG